CCCACCCUCUGAAUAUACUUUGUACCUCAGAGGGGACAAAAUAUAUUCGAGUCCCAGAAAGGGCAGAGGCAGGCAGGUGUGAUUGUAAGUCUCUGCCCACCCAGGACUACAUGGGAGGGCUGACCAAGUCACUGACCAGCACUGCUUCCCUAUGACAGGGUCAGGAGUUGAUACAGCAGAGCAUCUCUUUUGUCUGGACCUCAGGGCUUUCCCGGAAUGCAAACUUCUAGUGUGUCGAUGUGGGACAGUCCCAGGGGAAGCAUGCUGCUUGGUCACUGUGAGUAGCCAUGUCCCGGUGAGGUGAAAUCUUGAAAUAGAUGGCUGGAAACGUGUCAAGGGUGCUUGUGAAGGGAUGAGCGUUAGGCUCUCUAGAGUCUGGAGAGGCACUCGGGGCGGAUACACUAAGAUUGUGGACACAUGCUCAUGGUGCCAGGGCUCUCAGAGUGAGUCCAUGGGGAUGUGCUUUCAAAGCAUUGAGGACCCUGUGGACUAAAUUUAUGGUUGACUCAAGUAGGGUUUUAAAUAUUUAUUUAUUAUGUAUAUAUCACACAGCCUUCUGCCUGCAUGUACGCCUACAGGCCAGAGGAGGGCAUCAGACCUCACUACAGAUGGUUGUGAGCCACCAUGUGGUUGCUGGGAAUUGAACUCAGGUCCUCUGGAAGAGCAGUCAGUGCUCUUAACCACUGAGCCAUCUCUCCAGCCCUCAAGUGGGGUUUUAAUUGGUGAGCUGUGAAUUGGAUGGGAA
rnacentral:lncRNA from 1 species